rnacentral:rRNA from 1 species
GUUGAACGCUGGCGGCAGGCCUAACACAUGCAAGUCGAGCGGGGUUUUCGGACCUAGCGGCGGACGGGUGAGUAAUGCGUAGGAAGCUGCCCGAUAGAGGGGGAUACCAGUUGGAAACGACUGUUAAUACCGCAUAAUGUCUACGGACCAAAGUGUGGGACCUUCGGGCCACAUGCUAUCGGAUGCGCCUACGUGGGAUU